GCCGUCCUAGCUCAGUUGGUAGAGCAACAGUUUUGUAAACUGUGAGUCAUCGGUUCGAGUCCGAUGGACGGCU
rnacentral:tRNA from 1 species